GAACGUUGCAACCUCGCGGAUGGAACGCGGCGAAGGUUCGAUCGAACGUUGCGGCGACAAGCGGCGCCGCGGGGGGUGCGCUUGGGUCGGCAACCUUAAACACUCAGAGAGCCAUUUGGACCAGUUUCGCACAGAAAAGAAAACACCGGGAGCCACAAAACUCUUCUCAUGCCUGACUAUUUCCUGAGCAUAAAGAUUCUAUUUUCUUCUGAAA